CUAAGAUCCUCAUUGGUCAGCUCUUUGAUGUCACGUGCACCAUCACCUACAGACAGUCCUACAGCAUCCAGCAGAUGUCAUUCAGUCAGAUGCUGCAGUUGACCGCGCGCGACUCAUCUGGAGACACACGACUCACUUUGACAAACCUUUCUACCACGCAACACCUCGCAUAUCAAUUUUUUGCACAUCCUGAAAGCCUGGGAGAAUACAUAACAGAGUGCUCUGUGGGUUCAGCAGGCUUCAAUAUAGACACAGACCUGUUGAGCAACGGUGACGAGAACAUGGUGACCAGCACAUUGGAGCUCCAAAAGGACAUCCAUUCUGCCACUGCGGAUGCCCUCGACGAGAAGAAAGAAAAAUCUGAAAAUGUUUAUUUUGAAUGAGCUGGUUCAAACCGAAAAGGCCUACGUGCGAGACCUACGGGAAUGCACUGACGUUUCUUUUUCUUUAACUUAUUUAUUUAUUUAUUUUUUAAAGACAAUCUCUAUGAACAAAUUCAUCUUUGUUUGGUAUCAUGCAGAUUUACUUGGGGGAGAUGUUGACAAAGGAGGAAGAGAUCCCUCCAGGAAUCGCCAAUGUGAAGCACGUCAUCUUUGGGAACAUUACGGACCUGUAUGAAUUCCAUCACAGCAUCUUUCUCUAAGACCUGGAAAAAUAUGAACAUGUCCCCAAAGAUGUCGGAAAGUGCUUUAUCACAUGGGCUGAUAAAUUCAAGUUGUAUGUGGAACACUGCAAGAACAACGAAGAAUCCAGUCAGCUCAUCAUGGAGCAUGCUGUGGACUAUUUUCAUAACAUUCAGCAGAAGCACGGACCGGCAUACUCAGUCAACUCCUACCUGCUGAAGCCAGUGCAGAGAAUAACGAAAUAUCCACUCUUGCUAAAGGAUCUGAUGGAAUGCUGUGAAGAAGGGAAAGCAGAACUCAAGAAAGCCCUGGAUGUGACUCUCAGCAUUCCCAAGAGAGCCAACGAUGCCAUGCAUCUCUCCGUGCUGGAAGGUGACUGAACAUGGGAAAGAUAAAUUCACUCAUUGUUGAAGUUAUGUGUACUUACACAAAAAGUAGACAACUCUUCCUCUUGGAGAAGUCCUUGGUGUUCUGCAAGGUAGUCAAGGACGACAAGGGGAAGAGCAGAUACACGACAUAAAGCUGACAGAGCACCUGAAGGGAGACCCAAGCAAGUUUGCUCUUUCGUUGGGCCGACCACGGACAUCGAGCAAGAUUGUUCUUAAGGCUUCCACUACUGAGAUCACGAUGGACUGGAUCCAACAUAUCCGGAAGCUGAUACAGGAGCACACCAUCCACCUGGGGGAGACGCUCAAGCAGUGGAGGCGUAUUCCCAAGAGUCGAAGGAAUGGAAAACAUCACCA